UUCUACCUUGCUGUAUAAAGCAACUGAGACAAAUCAUUUUGCUUUUUCUUUCCCCAGGUUCCAAUCAGUGAGAAAACAGUCAUUUAAAUAUUAAUGGCAGAUUGGGCACUGUAGUCCUCCAGACGACAUUAAUCUAUCGAUGGCUCUGAAGUGAAGACGUGAUUGAUGCAGUUACAGACACUGGUGACGUAGGAAGUCAGCUGCAUUUUCACUGGAUUUAUUCAGACAUCCUGCUGGUUUUAUUAAGGAAACAGCAUAUCUGUGAGGUUAAAUCUUGAAAAGCCUAUUUUACUGGCUGAAGGUGACACUCUACUGCAAUCAUUGGGGAGCUCCUUUCUGAGUUCAAUAGCCACAGAGUUAAGUCAGCAG
rnacentral:lncRNA from 1 species